UUCAACUGAAUAUCCAAACCAAAGACAGCGGGUGUGAGUUUUUCACUUAAUGUCCUGCCGAGGUUUGAUUUUUGCAAGACACAGCUUUUUGUGUUCUCAAGAAAUCAUGCGAACUCGGCUUUUCACAAGGUCGAGUUUUUUGUUUUUGGAU
rfam:Leptolyngbya sp. NIES-2104 DNA, contig: contig1.